AUUGAACGCUGGCGGCAGGACUAACACAUGCAAGUCGAACGAGUGGCGGACGGGUGAGUAAUGUCUGGGAAACUGCCUGAUGGAGGGGGAUAACUAAUGGAAACGGUAGCUAAUACCGCAUACCAUCGGAUGUGCACAGAUGGGAUUAGCUAGUAGGUGGGGGAAAGGCUCACCUAGGCGACGCUCCCUAGCUGGUCUGGGAGGAUGAGCGUCCACACUGGAACUGAGACACGGUCCAGACUCCUACGGGAGGCAGCAGGGGGGAAUCUUGCACAAUGUGCGCAAUCCUGAUGCAGGCAUGCCGCGUGUAUGAAGAAGGCCUUCGGGUUUUAAAGUACUUUCAGCGGGGAGGCGUUACCCGCAUAAGAAGCACCGGCUAACUCCGUGCCAGCAGCCGCGGUAAUUC
rnacentral:rRNA from 1 species